rnacentral:rRNA from 1 species
AAUCAACGCUGGCGGCGUGCCUCAGACAUGCAAGUCGAACGAUUAAAGCUCUCUUCGGAGAGUGUAUAGAGUGGCGCACGGGUGAGUAACACGUAAGUAAUCUACCUUUGAGUGGGGAAUAACCCGGGGAAACCCGAGCUAAUACCGCAUAAUGCAGCGGCACCGCAAGGUGACAGUUGUUAAAGGAGCAAUCCGCUUAAAGAGGAGCUUGCGGCAGAUUAGCUAGUGGUAAGGUAAUGGCUUACCAAGGCUUCGAUCUGUAUCCGGCCUGAGAGGGCGGUCGGACACACUGACACUGAAUAACGGGUCAGACUCCUAUGGGAGGCAGCAGUCGGGAAUUUUGGGCAAUGGGCGAAAGCCUGACCCAGCAACGCCGCGUGAAGGAUGAAGUAUUUCGGUAUGUAAACUUCGAAAGAAUAGGGAAGAAUCAAUGACGGUACCAUUUAUAAGGUCCGGCUAACUACGUGCCAGCAGCCGCCGCAGUAAU